rnacentral:rRNA from 1 species
UGCUUUAUGAAUAAAUAUAUAAAGUAAUCUCCUGCCCAGUGAUAUAAUUCAACGGCCGCGGUAUCCUAACCGUGCAAAGGUAGCAUAAUAAUUUGUCUAUUAAUUGUAGACUAGAAUGAACGGGGUAACGAAAUAUAUGCUUUCUCCUUAAGACAUAUAAAAACUACUAUUACAGUGAAGAAGCUGUAAUUCAAAUAAAGGACAAGAAGACCCUAUAGAGCUUUAAUUUAAACUUACAAAAUAAACUACAUUUCGGUUGGGGCAACCAAGGGAAAAUCACCCUUCUAUAUAUCAGAUUCAUUUAUCAAUAUAAUGAUCCUCUUAAGAUUACUAGAACAAGCUACCUUAGGGAUAACAGGCUAAUCCUAUUAUAGAGCUCUUAUCAACAAUAGGGAUUGGCACCUCGAUGUUGGCUUAGACAUAUCUUUAUGAUGCAGCAAUCAUAAGAAGAAAGUUUGUUCAACUUAUAAUAUUC